UCCUCUGUAGUUCAGUCGGUAGAUCGGCGGACUGUUAAUCCGUAUGUCACUGGUUCGAGUCCAGUCAGAGGAGCCA
rnacentral:tRNA from 1 species